GGGAGUCUUAGAUGGUAUAGGUCUCCUAGAAGUUACUGACAAAAGAAAAAUGAAUAACUGACUACCCUGGAUAGUCCAACACCCUCAUAUAUCUAAACUAGUUGUUUCUCAGUGGGCAGACCCCUGGGGGGGAUCAGAGGGGGCUGGUCUGGCAGUCUAUUGCCCACUCUAUGAAAUUCCUUGUGUCCAGCUCUGGUGAUGGCUAUCUAGAUGUUUUAUGGUCUAGGCCUGGUGCAAGAUCAAAGACCACAAUAAAUGUCAUCCCAAGGUUUACAAAAAAACAACUCUUAACAUAUAUAAACACACAUCAAACACCAACUCAUGCUUUUGGCAUGACA